GUGUUCACUUCGGCAGCACAUAUACUAAACUUGGAACAAUACAGAGAAGAUUAGCACGGUCCCUGUGCAAGAAUGACACUCAAAAUUAAAUAUAAAAAUUAA
rnacentral:snRNA from 1 species